AAUCAACGCUGGCGGCGUGCCUCAGACAUGCAAGUCGAACGCGAAAUUUCCCUUCGGGGAGAAAGUAGAGUGGCGCACGGGUGAGUAACACGUAGGUAAUUUGCCUUUGGGUGGGGAAUAACUCAGGGAAACUUGAGCUAAUACCGCAUAAUGCAGCGGCUCGACAUCGAGACAGUUGUUAAAGCGGGGGAUUGGAGCAAUCCGACCUCGCGCCUAAAGAGAAGCCUGCGGCAGAUUAGCUAGUUGGUAAGGUAAUGGCUUACCAAGGCGACGAUCUGUAACCGGCCUGAGAGGGCGGUCGGUCACACUGACACUGACAUACGGGUCAGACUCCUACGGGAGGCAGCAGUCGGGAAUUUUGGGCAAUGGGCGCAAGCCUGACCCA
rnacentral:rRNA from 1 species